CACGUAGUUAGCCGGGCCUUCCUCCGUGGGUACCGUCAGUGCUUCGUCCCCACGAACAGCGGUUUACACUCCGAAAAGCGUCAUCCCGCACGCGGCGUUGCUCCGUCAGGCUUUCGCCCAUUGCGGAAAAUUCCUUGCUGCUGCCUCCCGUAGGAGUCGGGGCCGUGUCUCAGUCCCCGUGUGGCUGAUCAUCCCCUCAAACCAGCUACCGAUCAUCGCCUUGGUGAGCCGUUACCCCACCAACAAGCUAAUCGGACGCAGGUCCCUCCAAUGGCGGUCCGAAGACCUUUCCUCAUCAUCCCCACAAGGACCAUGAGCUCAUGCGGAAUUACCCUCGUUUCCGAAGGCCUACCCCCACACUGGGCACGGUUCCCCACGCGUUCCUCACCCGUCCGCCACGUGACGCCAUCCGAAGACUCGACCCCCGUGCGACUUGCAUGCAUUACGGCACCGGCCGCCGACGCGUUAGAUCCGUGACGGCCAGGGACUUCAAAACCUCU
rnacentral:rRNA from 1 species